rnacentral:rRNA from 1 species
CUUGCUUCUUUUGGAUGAGUUGCGAACGGGUGAGUAACGCGUAGGUAACCUGCCUUGUAGCGGGGGAUAACUAUUGGAAACGAUAGCUAAUACCGCAUAACAGCUUUUGACACAUGUUAGAAGCUUGAAAGAUGCAAUUGCAUCACUACGAGAUGGACCUGCGUUGUAUUAGCUAGUAGGUAGGGUAACGGCCUACCUAGGCGACGAUACAUAGCCGACCUGAGAGGGUGAUCGGCCACACUGGGACUGAGACACGGCCCAGACUCCUACGGGAGGCAGCAGUAGGGAAUCUUCGGCAAUGGGGGCAACCCUGACCGAGCAACGCCGCGUGAGUGAAGAAGGUUUUCGGAUCGUAAAGCUCUGUUGUAAGAGAAGAACGUGUGUGAGAGUGGAAAGUUCACACAGUGACGGUAACUUACCAGAAAGGGACGGCUAACUACGUGCCAGCAGCCGCGGUAAUACGUAGGUCCCGAGCGUUGUCCGGAUUUAUUGGGCGUAAAGCGAGCGCAGGCGGUUUAAUAAGUCUGAAGUUAAAGGCAGUGGCUUAACCAUUGUUCGCUUUGGAAACUGUUAAACUUGAGUGCAGAAGGGGAGAGUGGAAUUCCAUGGGUAG